GUAGCUGCGGUAAUUCCAGCUCCAAUAGCGUAUAUUAAAGUUGUUGCAGUUAAAAAGCUCGUAGUUGAAUUUUGGGAUCAAUAUGUCAGUCAUGUCUCUGGCACAUAUUGGCGUUAUUGGUUUCUUCCUUUUGACGAACCACGAUGUCAUUAAUUUGGUAUUAUGGGAAAUCAGAACUGUUACUUUGAAAAAAUUAGAGUGUUUAAAGCAAGCUCACAUUUGAAUACAUUAGCAUGAAAUAAUGAAAUAGGACGUUUGAUUCUAUUUUGUUGGUUUCUAGGAUCGAUGUAAUGAUUAAUAGGGAUAGUUGGGGCAUUAGUAUUCAAUUGUCAGAGGUAAAAUUCUUGGAUUUAUUAAAGACUAACUACUGUGAAAGCAUUUGCCAAAGAUGUUUUCAUUAAUCAAGAAUGAAAGUUAGGGAAUCGAAGAUAAUUAGAUACCGUCGUAGUCUUAACCAUAAACUAUGCUGACUAGGGAUCGGAUGAUGUUAAUUUUUUAAUGACUCAUUCGGCACCUUACGGG
rnacentral:rRNA from 1 species